rnacentral:lncRNA from 1 species
UUAGGUCUAAACUCUCAGCUGUGAGUACUAAUUUGUGGCGUGAUGGUGAGGUGAAAUGGCAGAGGCCCAUGGCACAUCAUUGCAGAAUAUGCGUUAGACUUUCACAAGUCAUCAGUCAUGAAUUUCAGGAUCUGGCUGCUUGUCUUCAUGGGAGACGUCAGGAACCCACCACUUAACCACACAAGGGCCCAACUCAUCGAGCAUUACAGCUUGGGGAAGAAACGCCAGCCGCGAGCCAGAGAAACAAAAACGAGGGGCUGUCCCUAAAAUGCAGGAUCCAAGGGCCUGGAGCUGGAGAGAAAUCAGGCAGCACCUCACAGAAUCCAGGCUCACAGAAAGUCUGUUUCGAUCAGAAUUUAAAACAACCCUCUUCCUGCUGCAACUCUUCAGGCCACUGACAAGGUGACAGGAUCACAUUUUGUACAGGAUACAAACAUAUUCCCUAUGGGUGGACAAAACGACCCCGUAGCCCAUCUACACCAAGGAGCUGCACCUGUGCCCUGUGUAGCCAGAUGCAAUUUUCUAUUAUUGGAAAAUCCACUUUAAGUUGUUCCUUAGCAAAUUCUUCCCAAGUACUGUUUCCUUUCCUCAAUUCCUG